rnacentral:rRNA from 1 species
UACGUAGGCAGCAAGCGUUGUUCGGAGUUACUGGGCGUAAAGGGUGCGUAGGCGGUCCUAUAAGUAUGGUGUGAAAUCUCCCGGCUUAACUGGGAGGGUGCGCUAUAGACUGUGGGACUAGAGUGUGGGAGAGGAGAGUGGAAUUCCUGGUGUAGCGGUGAAAUGCGCAGAUAUCAGGAAGAACACCCGUGGCUAAGGCGGCUCUCUAGUACGGUGCUGACGCUGAGACGCGAAAGCGUGGGGAGCGAACAGG